rnacentral:lncRNA from 1 species
CCGCCAACUUCUACGUGAUUCUGACUUGAUCUCAUUUAGUCUCUUUGAUCCCUAUGUUGAUAUUUGGUAACGCCAUCAGGAAAUGAUCCGCAAGCGCACGAAUAUCGGUGAGCACUUCACCCAGGAGGUUAUCUAGAGUAUCGUAUUUAUAUUUUUACCACUGGGAGAAAGCGUGCAUCUGACUAACCAAAUCUAUUGCUACUACCCUUUAGGCUACAAACAAUGUGACUCGAUGUGAGUGAUGUAUAGAGAAGACUACAACCGCACUCUCGUUCUAACCUUGGUAAGGAUGAUCUACUGUUCUAUUGGGGAGGCUCACGGAAUCUAGACACCACAAAGGAUGUUCGACCCGCACCUAUAAACCCUAUCGAUCAUGCUAACGGGAUAUGGGCUACAAAGGUAACUCAGAAAUGUCACGUUCCUCGCUACUACCACGGUCUAGCUAGUCAGGGGAUAUCUAUGAGUAUCCUAGCCCAAACACCAUGUUUACGCUAGAGAUGAUUACUCUAAACUCUAUGCGAAGAUAUCAAAAUAAACUCAUAAGCCAAAGAACAAUAAAACAAAGAACUUACUAGAAUUUAGAAGUCGAAAUACUGAAGAAUCCUAGGAGCAAGCCUCGGGUUAGGAGACUUGAUCCCGCAGGUACAACCUCGGAGUAGACACCGACAGGCCGGACUUCCUCCGAUCUACACCUCCACUCUAUCUCUCUCAAUCUAGUAGAACUAAGUCUACUCUCACAAUGGAUGCUACACCCUAUAAGGUGGGAACCCUAAGGAACCUCUCUCUCUGAAUCCUCUCUGGAAAAUAUGCUAAUGAAUAAUUGGAUUGCCCUCCUCCAAGGGCCAGGGGCCUGCUUAUAUAGUCCCCUCAAGUGAACGUGGGCCGUCGGAUCAAACCGACAUUGAUUGAACGUUUCUCCUUGAUCCUUUAGGUAGGUGGAGCAUAAUCCGCGAGAUUAAACGUGAUUGGCCACAACACCUAGGCAGGCGCCCAAGGGGGGAGGGCGGGCGCCCUGCCCCCGGGCCCGCUCGGCCUCCCAUUCGUUCCCGUGGCUUCUGGACUCUUCUAGAUGAUAGAAAAUUGCACGGCGCGUUAAUAUCUCUAUGUAAACCCGUCAUGUGGGCCUUUCCUCCGUAUUUCCUGAUAACCCCCUGUAGAAAUAGACAAACACCAAAACUCGUGGAAUUCUGUCAGAUAAAACCCUAAGUCUGGGUGUUGGUUGCAUUUGGAUCCUUUUCUUUAUUUAUUUGAUGAUUAAAUUUGAUACUCAAGGACCGUCCACAAACUCCCCAAGCUUACCUCUUGCAAGGAUGGACUCAAGAGUUUCUGCAGUGGUUUCAUGCCUUAAAGGUACACAUGCGUUCAAACAAGAUCUCAUCUCUACGUUAGGGUAAACUGUUAAGACUUAAAACUUACUCAUUUUACCUUUCACCUUGGGGCUUGCAACCAUCACUUAUGUCUUGAGCAAUUAAAAGAUAGAGUAGUCAAGUCAAGCGCCAUGUCUCUUGUUCUUUGAUCAAGUAUAGCUCUGGAGUUUUUAUAGAUUUUCAAAAUAAAACUCAGAGAUUCCUUGUAUGACUCUCUCAAUUCUCUCUUUUGUGGUAUUUCUGGAUCCUUACUAAGGCAGUGAUGGUAUAUGCCUUCUCUUAAAGUAUGUAGUAUUUGUGGUAUGAGGCAUAGUGACAUUGCCUUCUCUCUCAUCCUACUCCAAUGAGGCUUUGAUAUCUGGAGCUCAUAGGUGGGAGAUAAAGUAUACAUACUUAUAAGAUAUUUAUUGCAUAGUCAAACCAUGGAUCCAGAGAAACAAGUCAAUAAGUCAAAUCAAGAUGUGCAUGUGUGGUGAAUGAAUGGUGUAUGGUGAUGAUGGUGAAAACAAUGGUGAAAGUCUAAUUCUACUUUUGCUCUUUUGAGGGGAUACACACCUUUCUUGCACUUUUGAAACUUUUUGAGGAGAAUGAGAUGCUCUCUAUAUAUAUUUUUUUCUUUUCUCUCAGGUGGGUAUCUUGUACCCCUAAUUCUACUGUCGGACAAUUGUCCAUUUUUACCUCUCAUCUCACUUUUUCUUUUCUUCGAGGUUCCGGGCACUUGACCCUUUUUAUUUCCUCGUAUUAUUUCUCUCUCUCUUUUUUCUUUUCUUUUUUUACUAGAGCACUCAUCUCCUGAAAUAAUAUAGCAAGUGGUAGUAACCAAGAUAACUCGAGCAUUUAUUUUAUAGGGAAAAACAGAAAUAGGAGAAUGUUUUUGGCUAUUCUCUCUCGGAUUAGGAGUAGAAUACUUUUGGGUGGCUCUGGAGAUGGAACUGACUGGAUAUAUGUGGAUGCGUACAACCGGAGUAGAAGUAGCAUGUAUGAGUGAACGUGCAAGUGAAUCUUGAUUUUAACCGCAUGACAAGCUCCUAAGGGUCUACACAGCUUGACCACACUCAAUGCUCAUAAGCAGUAAAAAAGUAAAUGUGUGGCUCAAAGUCUAGCAAGCAUGUAUAUAUGGCUGUGGUAGGAAUUUAAACUCUCAUCAUACAGGAACUCAUCAUGCAAUAUUUUAAAGAUUUUCAAAGAUAAAAUUCUCCAGAAUUCUAGCAUCUCUAGGAACAGAUAAAUAGCAGCUGAACCUUCCCAUAUCAUAUCCGUUAACGACUUAGACUUUAGAUCAAGUACUCUUCUCACAAGUUUAGGUUUAGAGCAAGCUUUAAAUUAUAACAGUUAUGCCUAAACUUGAGAGAGAGCUCAAAUUUGAAAACUAGAUACUUGGCAGAGCAACUAUUCAUCAUAUCCAUGUAAGAGUUUAUCAUUGGAGUUCAAUUUGGCAUAGACACUUUAUUUAUUUAUUUAUUUAGCAAACUAAGAAAAAAUUUAUAUAUAAGCAUAAAAUCUUUAUUUGGGUUUUUAUGAUUAUGCAUCUUUUUAUUAUUUGAGUAAAGUAUAAACGCGAGUAGAAACACUUAGGUGGAUAAAUGGGGGUGCUCUCCCCCAAGCUGGAUUUUGACGUAAUUUCUUCUGAUGUAGCUAGCAGGUGGCGGAGGUGUAUUUGAAUGUCGGCAGCACCCUAACAGCGAUUAGGAUAUCCUCCAUCUGCUAGUCUUCUUUGAUCCUUGAAUUCUGUGGAGCUCAAAUAGACAACAAAGCUUUGUGGAACUGGUUAAGUGUUAGCAUAAAAUCUCUUAGCCUUUAUCAUAUUGAGAUUCCACCUAAUAAAUGUUACUCUCUUUAGUAGGAUCAUAAAUUUAUUUUUAUAUUUUUAUUUUUAUAGGACAGGAAUAUAUUUAUUUUAUUUUUACGCCACCACAGUGAAUGUACUUAUGGUUUUAUGCCAUGAGCAUACUCACAUGGGGCUUACUAUUUUUAACAUUUUUGUUUUCUUUUCGAGAUGAUAUGAACCUGAUUAACUAAGCAAACUAUUUUAAAUAAUUGAAGGGAAAAGGAUAACUACCAAGUUUACCCCUUGGCAAGGCGUUCGGUGUUUUUAAGUCCUCCGAACGGGACUCUCCGUUUUCUCAGUUGUCCUGGGAUUCGCUGGAUGGCGUAGUCGGUGGUUCCGGCGGUGCCUCCUCUUCGUGUAUAACUAUCUUCUCUCUCCACACCUGACUCGGUGCUACGGUCUCCUCAGAACAGUUCUGUUCAAGCUGUAUGUCUUCAGACCUUACCACUUCUCCUUCGUACUCUGCCCAUCCGUCCUUGAUGACUUGCCUCCUCUGGUUGCGGUUGUGUCGUCUUAUUCUUGUCCUGACUUACUUAGUGUCUUCAACUAUAUAGUUAAGGUUAGUAAAAUAGCGGUGUACCUUCUCAGAGGGGAAGUGCAUGUGGACUUCUCCGGUUCCACUAUAGAUGAUUGCUUUAACGAUGCCGAGGAACGGUCUCCCAAGGAUGAUGGGUGGAUCGUACUCGUCUUCUCCCAUAUCAAUAACCUGGGUCGUCCUUUUUUUGUCAGGAACGGUGACUUAAGUCGACGAUCUUGACCUCCUUGAGCUGCAGUGACCAUCUUAGCUGACUCGGUCCACAUUUGCUUGUUCUUGUUCCUCCUGUUGGUCCUCUUCCUUGGUUCAUGUCGGGAUUGCUCUGAAAUUUGUGUAGUCUUGUUCUUGAAGGAAACUCUCCUUCUUCCCCUUGAUGUAGAAACUGAUCUUGGCAGCACUAGCGUAGAUGACAGCUCUCGAGGUGUUCACGAAUGGCCUCCCUAGGAUGAUGGGUGCCCUCUCAUCAGUACCAGUCUUACUAUCACCAUGAAGUCUGCUGGAGCGUACAAGGUACCAACUCGGACGCAGAGGUUCUUCAAUAUUUCCUUUGGGAAACUUAGUGUCCGAUCUGCAAGCUGAGUAGUUAGGCCUCUGUUGAUUCCAACCUUGAUUUUGUUGAGGACGGUUGUAGUAGUAGUAGUAGUUGUUGAUGUAAUUUAUGUCCUCAAGCAUCGCAGGGCAGUGGUUGUCUGAGUGUCCACUAUCUCUAGUGUGUUUGUGCUCGUAGAUCCACGUUCUUCACUUGGUGGAGUCUGGGAGUUGUAAAACUCCUUCGUAUUUUGCUCGAAGUGUACCUGCUCAUAAAGACAAGGCAGAGAUCAAGUGCAUGGGCCCUGUUGGUGAAAAACACUAACAGAACCAAAAGUGUAUUUGUUCUUCUCUAACCUUAAGCACAGAGAGCAAGACAAAGUUGAUGAAUAAUAAGAUCAUGAGUGUAGCAUUUAAAACAUUUGUCAGAUCAGAUCGCUCGACCUAAUGGAAAGAUAAUCUAUCUAUAUUUAUGUUUUGUUUAUAUCUUCCAAAGAUUGAAUGUGCAACAUUUUAGCUUAUAUGAUUAGGAGUGUGGGAUUACGAAGGUAGUACUAAGAACAAAGAUUAAAGGACUAAACAUGUUGAAUUAAUUGUGUUGGUUAAUUUGGAGUUACAAUUCAUACAUGUUUGUCUCUUUUAUUCAUGUGAACGCCAGAACUAAGGAGAAGCUUAUAAAACCGAUAGUCAAGUACCUUAAGAUGUUACCUUACUUGAAGAGUGAUGGUACAGUAUCACCUUGUGGAAGCUUUCCUUUCUUAGCGGUUGUGCAUCAUGUUUGUGGCACCCUCCAUGCAUCAUCUCUUAUGAGCUAUGUCUUUCUUGUGUAAAUUGUUAAACUUCAUGUAUCUCUCUCUUUGUCUCCAAUGUGAGUUUAUCUUAGGACUUCCCAGGUCGAUAUUGAAAGUCUUCCUGCAGGGGUUAGUCCAACAAAAUAUCCCAUAUCUACUAUAGCAUACUAUCGGCUCAAAAAUCAACCUAGACACCAUGUCUAAUUUGAUUUAGGAGGGCAUUUUAGCCUAAGCACCAUGCUUAAUUUAAAAACCCUUGGAAGUAAGAUCAUCAUUCCUAAACUAAGCACUAUGCUUAAUUAAGAGAUAAAUGAAACUACUCCAAACCUAGAUAUAUACUAAAGCAAAUAAAGGUAGCAUGAGAGCAUUUAUAGAGAUCUACUCAAGUGGAGAUGAAGUAGUGUGAUUAGUAUUUAACAAAUUGAGUAUGUCUCAAAGAUAGGGACAACCAACAUAGCAACAUGGCAAAGGAUGUUUUUAUGUAAAGUACUCCCCCAAGCUUGAAUUUUGCAAAAUUCAAGUUUGGAUGAAUUUAAUUUAAUGUUGUAUGAUGAUUGGUUGGACAUACCUUGUGCUUGUCAUUCAUCCGAUCUUCUUGCUUCAAUCCUGGAAAGGUUAGUGACAAGAAUACCCGAAGGAAUAUUUUUACAAUUAUCCUUAUAUGCUCAAUACACAAGGUAAUGUUGCAAAUGAUUAAAAGCUCAUGUUACGAUCUGAUCAGUGCUUAUUUUAGGAUACUAAGCUUGUCCUUAAGAAACUAUCAAUUUAUGUCGGCGAAGUGGUUUCCCCUCCAACGCUGACCUAUAUCAAGAUCAACUCAACGAGAUCUGCAAUAUUUAUUAUAGAUAUAUGCAUCGACAACCGCCCUUUUAAAGUUUUUAUAAAUAGAAAGGAAGAGGGGGUUGGAGAUCUCAAAUGUGGUGAUGUUGGAGAGACCAAUAGAUUGGGAAGAUGUUGCAUAUGAGCAUGGAGUAAACGAAGUGGCUAUGAAAUAAAUUCCAUGCUCAUUAAUGUUAUUUUCGUCUCCAAUCUGAUUGUUUGGAGUUUUUCCUAGAUUGGUCUCGCCUAUGUCCUCUUCUGUAGUUGGAUGAAUCUCAUCUUCAAAGGGAGUCAAGAACUCACCAUUUGAAAUUGAGCCAAAGUCAGAAUCCAUUAAGGCUUCUUCCUUGUCCAUCCACUCAAUGGUGUUAGCACAUGGAUUCUGCACUUCUCGAUCCUCCUUAUGGUCUUGGUGAAUCUAAUGCAUGGGAUGUCUAGAGAGAUUCAUAGGGUCAUCGGGAGGUUCAAGAGAAAGAGCAUAGUAGAAAUUAUUAGGCUCAAGGAUGGGUUUAAAGAUAGGUUCGAAUGAGUCAUCAAAAGUGGGCGUAGAAGGGGAGAAGAUGAGAUUGUCUUCUAAAUGGCUUCGCUCUCCUUCUAUUGCAUCACUUAAGAUGCCAUCCUUGAGUCUUUCUAGAUGUCCAUCAAAGGGAUUGGAUUUGAGAUGCUUUCUAAGAGAUCCCUUCUUAGGAAGGUUCAGACUGUAUGCACUCAAAGGUCUCUUAUGAAGCAGGAAGUUUAAGCUCGUCCCAAAAUGAAUUUCCAAAGGUAGAAUUUCUUCUUCUCUUAGAUUAUUUUGGAGCACUACAAGUUUGGGUUGGAUAGCCGAAUCAUGGGAUUGAAAUGUUUGGAAAUCGGCUAUUGAAACUUCCUUUCCUCGUCUGGGAGAUAAUUCCUUCUCUAUCUCUAGGAUUUUUUUAUGAAGACUAGUGCAAGAAGGAUGUCCACGAAUGAAGACAUACCUUGCUUUACUAACAGAUAAAGAAAGAAAAACUCUACCAACGGUUAUAUGAUUAAGACCAAUGUGAAAAUAUUGAGGAAAAACAUGGUCUUGUAGGGCUAGGUUUAAACCAGAAUUUAUAGAAAGAUUAAUAGAUUCCCUAGGUGUAGCUAAAAGUUCAUUAUCUUCUUGAUUAAAAGAUAGGACCUCACCUAUAGAAAAGGGUUGGUUUUGACCUAUUGCAAUCAACUCCGGACACAGAUCAUAAUUAGGGGCAAAGAAAGGACUUGUUGACUCCCAUGGUCUAUGGCUGGUCUCCGAAGGUGCAAAAAAUUCAAUAAUAGGUGUGGAAUUUGAGUUAUCCAUAAAGAUGGAAAAAAUAAAAAGAUAAAAGAAUAAAAGUAUAAAAGUAUAAUACAAGAUAAUAGCAAGACUUAAAGUUAUCUCAACAAACCGUCUUUCUCCGCAGCAACGGCGCUAGAAAUGCUUGUUGAUAUUUGGUAACGCCAUCAGGAAAUGAUCCGCAAGCGCACGGAUAUCGGUGAUCACUUCACCCAGGAGGUUAUCCAGAGUAUCGUAUUUAAAUUUUUACCACUGGGAGAAAGCGUGCAUCUGACUAACCAAAUCUAUUGCUACUACCCUUUAGGCUACAAACAAUGUGACUCGAUGUGAGUGAUGUAUAGAGAAGACUACAACCGCACUCUCGUUCUAACCUUGGUAAGGAUGAUCUACUGUUCUAUUGGGGAGGCUCACGGAAUCUAGACACCACAAAGGAUGUUCGACCCGCACCUAUAAACCCUAUCAAUCCUGCUAAUGGGAUAUGGGCUAC